AAUUCUGUAUAGCCCAGUUGGUAACGCUCUCCACUCAAAGUGGAGAGGUCCCUGGUUCGAUACCAUGCAGGACCA
rnacentral:tRNA from 1 species